AGCGAACGCUGGCGGCAGGCCUAACACAUGCAAGUCGAACGAACUCUUCGGAGUUAGUGGCGGACGGGUGAGUAACACGUGGGAACGUGCCUUUUGGUUCGGAAUAACUCAGGGAAACUUGUGCUAAUACCGAAUGUGCCCUUCGGGGGAAAGAUUUAUCGCCAUUAGAGCGGCCCGCGUCUGAUUAGCUAGUUGGUGAGGUAACGGCUCACCAAGGCGACGAUCAGUAGCUGGUCUGAGAGGAUGACCAGCCACACUGGGACUGAGACACGGCCCAGACUCCUACGGGAGGCAGCAGUGGGGAAUCUUGCGCAAUGGGCGAAAGCCUGACGCAGCCAUGCCGCGUGAAUGAUGAAGGUCUUAGGAUUGUAAAAUUCUUUCACCGGGGACGAUAAUGACGGUACCCGGAGAAGAAGCCACGGCUAACUUCGUG
rnacentral:rRNA from 1 species